rnacentral:lncRNA from 1 species
AUUUAUUAAAAAAAAGAAGCUUGUAGCAUUAGCUAAACCCGACUCCUAGACGAGUUUAGCUAAUGUAACAAAUUGGUGCAGAUGAACAUGAGACUGCAUUGCAUUGUGAGAGUUGCCAAACACACCUUAAGGUCAUAAUUGGUUUCUAUUGCCUAUAGUUUAUAACUUCUAUUAGAUGCACCCACUUUCUAUUUCGCAUAAACAAAUCUUGUAUAACUUCAUACUUAACUAAGGUAGCAUUUGUUUUUUUGUCUGAAAUCUAAAUGGGUCUGAAUUUUUCUAAAGUCUAAAUAGGCCUGAUUACGAAAAUAUGAAUGACAUGUUUUUUUUUUAAAUAUCUGAAUAUAAGUGGCAUCUUGUUUGUUUUCACAAUAAAAAAGAACUUAAAUUUGGUUAUUUGACAUUUUUGUCCUUGUAAAUUAAAAAAAAAAAAGAGGAUAAAAUUUUAUAGUUUAGGAAAUAAAUUAUUUUACAAAGAUAUUUUUGAAAUAUAAUAUUUACUUGUCAUUCAGAUAUUUUUUCAUUCAGAUAAAAGUUUACUUUUUCUAUUCAGAUGUAAAUGUCUGAAAAUCAAACAUAAGUUCCAAAAAUCAAACAAGCAUAUUUCAGAAAGGUUUGAAAUUAAUAAAAUUUCAGACUUCAGAUAUUUAACAAACAACCUCUAAGUGUAUAAAGUUAUUUUGAUAGAUAUGAUACAAAGAAAAUUUAUUAAUUUGAGAAAAUUUAAUUAUUAUUUAAUAUACGAUCAAUUAUGAAAUAUGUCGUUUUCAUUGAGUAAAUUUACAUGAGAGAACGAACUUAAUUUUGAUUGGUGAAGGCUUUUCCCUUUUGGGAAGAUAUUGAAAUCUUUUAUUCAUAUUAGAACUAAAAAUUAUUUAGUUGUUGACAUUUAAAACAAUUAUGAAUAUUGAAAGCAAAAAAUUUGGUGAGAGCAAUUUAUUUAUAUGAUGCUUAUUUUGAGUUGAAUGAUAAGGAAAAGUAUGGAAUGAUGCUAAUGAAUCCCUGCUUUUUAUCUUUUGAAUCCCUUUUUUUAAGACCAUUUAGAUAUUUAAAAAUAUCCUUAAUUUUCAAUAAACCAUCUUAAUUAGGUCUGACAAUGAGUUACAUUGAAAUAAUUUUGUAUCCUAUUGUUACGAUGUCGUACUUAAUUUUGGUUAUUAAAUUAUUAAGUAAAAAAUCAAAACUAAGUUUGUUCGCUCACUAAAAAUGAUAAUUUAGUUUUCGACUUAGAAACAGUAAAGUGAUAGUAUGUCAAAUUAUAAGAUGUUAUUAACAGAUGGUCCCACCACUUUAGUUGGGUUUCUAGGAAAAACAAUGUCCAUUUCAUAGUUAGAUAAUUUUUUAUGUAAUUAUCUUAUUUAUCUUUCAUAUUUAUCUUUUUAUUUAUAAUUAUUGUUAUUUAGUAUGUUUAUUUUUAUAUGUGUAAUUGUCUUUAUAAGUAUAUUUCGUAGUUGUCAAUAAGUUGUUAAAUUCUGUUUAAGUAACUCAAGGGGGGAUAAUUGGAUUUUAAAAAUUUGUCAACGGCAACACCACAAUCCAACACCAACAAAUAAUGAUAAAGUCACAACAAUAAGUAAGGGUACAAAAAAUAAACAUAUAUUUUUACGUGGUUCGACAAACCUACCUACAUUCAUACCUCCAAGUAAAUCAAGUUUGAAGAUUUCACUGAUCAAACCUUACAACCCAAGCUUCAAACUGUUUGCAAUUGACUUUAAAGGUGUCCAUAAAUCUUUACAAAACUCGAGAUGAUCAUAUACCUCUUUUCUUAAGUGUUUUCCAGCUAGUAGUCAAUGUUCAUUUGGAAGUAGGAGCUUCUAUUUGUGAUGAUGAAUGUGAAAAUGCUCUCUUAACUAAUCUCAAGGUACCAAUGUCUUAGUAGAUCAUCCAAUAAAUUUUGUAGGGGCUUGCCUCUCCUUUCCUUUUUACCUAUGGCAUGAUGCUCAUGGGUAGCUUAUCUCUAAUUGGAUUUCCUUUUUUAAUUAGAUUUUGUUCCAAAGAUGUGACUUACAAUCACUCAAUUUUGAUGUUUACAAUGAAGUUUACAAAGGUCACACUCCUUAAAGAGUAUGUUAGCAAGUGAUAGCUCAAUAAUGAAUCAAUGUAUGUGAAUAAAUAAACGAAACCUCAAGAUGAUUUGGAUGAACAAGUUUUAACUCAAUGAAGAUUGCAAGAAUUCAUGGAAAUGAGUUAGAGUUGGCUUUUUAUAGUUUGGGGGAAAAAGAAAAAAAAAACUAGACAUUAUUCACUCAAAAUAUAACACAUUCAAUAAAUUAUCGGAUCACCGCUAACUUAAGGCAGAUCACCACAAAGCUUAUGUGGCAUGUUACUGUUAGAAAGACAUUUGAAAUUGUUGCCUAAUUGGAUAACAACUUGAAAUUAGCGGCUCACUAUUUGGACUCUAGAAAGUUUCAUAAAUUCAUCGUUCACUACUAACUUGAGGCAAUUCACUACUGGCUCUUUUCUAAAUUUAUAGUUAAUUUUGGCCACAGAUCUUUCUAAAUUUGCAUAAGCGUACAAUUUUAUAAAACUUUUCAAAUAGGUCCUCCUUCAGUAUUUCAAACAAUACUUGUUAAUUUCAAAAAUUUUAAAAAAAUUAAUUUAGUCCAUAUACUUGAAAACAACAAUUUUCAUAAAAUCCUUUUCACUUUAAAUAUAUGACCUUUACAUUUUGAAAAUAAUGAUUCAUUUAAAAUGUCAUGAAAAAUAUUUGAGCUUUUAAAUGCUUAAUCAUUAAUACAUUUAAUCAUACUAGGUUUGCAAGACAUGUAAUAAGAAAAAUCAUCUAAGCUUGUAACCUUGAUGGUUGUCUUUCACUUGAUGAGUUUUUUUUUAUUGAAUACCUUGAACUUGAUUUGUCAUGGAUGAUUUUUGUCCUUCAAGAGCCACUAAGAUUAAAAAGAUAGAAUUCUUAUUUUACUCUCGACACGUAAUCUGUUAUCAUGAAAAUCAAAUUUUGUAUGACCUUUUAGGUCAACAAGUUGGAUAUUUCGCAUUAAGAAUUAAUGCAGGCAAUAAAUUGUUUUUUUUUUUCCUAGUUGGUCUGCUGUCAUAGGCGACCAGAAAUAAAAUCUAAACUCCUAAAACACAUUUAAAUGGUGUGAGUAAGGAUCAUUCCUACAUAGAGUAUCCAGCCUGGUUUUGUAAUAUGUGAACAAGGACGGGGGUUUCAGUUUGAAUAUAACAAAAACAAUUUGAAAAAAAAUCAACUAAGGAACAAUUCAAUUUAAAAUAUCAAAAUCAACGAAAAAAAAAAACCAUGGUCUAAGUCAACAUCCACCACUGGAACUUUACAUCUAGUCAUCGAUGCAAGUAUAUAUCAAUUCGUACUUUGAAUAUUCACUAUUAGAACUAUUCUUCUUAUCUGUCCUUAGUCACAGUUAAUUGAAACACAGACGAUCUAGUCAACACUAACUACUAAAUAACCCAAGUCAAGUGCUACAAAGUUUUAAUGUAGUUGUAGCCUUAAGAAUUAGAGAAAUCAAAUAAGUUGAAAAACACAAGCAAAAGUGGUUGUGUGCAAAAGUAGUUGCAUUUAACUUAGUCGAGCAUUCUUCCUGAGAUCUAAUAAUUUCUUAUACAACAAAUCAUUAGAUCUUAAUUGCUUCACAAAUUCGAGUUGUCAAAUAAUUACGGAUUUAAUAUCUAACUUAGCAGUAGAUCGCAACAAACAAUAAACUAGUAGGCCUCCUAGUAAUUAAACGAGACAAUUAUAAAAAUAAGUGCAGAAGAACAUCCAAUACUCAAAGCAUAAAUUAAACAAUAAAACAAACUAGAUCUAAUAGUUUUGUUAUUUUUAAGACUUUUGUUUCCUUCAACUUAAAAGUUUAGCCACGCAAGGCCAUGCUGAAAACAUGAAGGAGAAGUUAGAGAAGAGAGGGGAGAGGGAGAGGCAUCCCCAAGUCUGAUGAUUUCUUUCCUCUUUAUACGCGUUAAUUCCCUUCCCAAAGCCUAUAGAAUCUCCUAAAAUUAAUAAAGAUAUUCUAAAUAUUUUCCUAAAGUAAUAAUAUUCAAAUUCGACUAAUUAAUAAAAAAAAACAAAGACUUAAUAUAAAUAGGAGUUAGUGAUUUCAGCUAGAUUUCUCGUGCAUCAGAUCUGGAAACUUCCAAAGUGUAUCGUCUCAAAUCCGUGUAUUAGAAUAGUAAGCUAAGGAACGUUCCAGAAUGUCAACAGAGCAAGUGCAGAAACUUCAAGCCCAAUUUCAACUUUGAUGUAGCCAAUAUCUAGAGUUGGCAACAAUACCCGCGGGGCUCCAAACCCGCGGGGCCCCGCUUAAUUUAGGGCGGGUAUGGGGCCCCGAAAAACACUGAAAAUAAAUUUGGGUCUGUUUGGGGAUGGGUCUAAAACCCCCAAAAUUUUUCGGGUUCGGGUUCGGGGAUUUUUCCGGAUCCCCUAACCCGACCCGAAAAUAAAAACAAAAAAAAAACUCUAAUUUUUUCCCCCAAAAGAAACCCUAACAGCUCGUGAGCUGCCGUCGUCACUAACAGCCGGUCAGCCGCCACCGUUCGUCGUCACCUACCAACACUCAGCCGCACCUGUUGGUUCUCCUGCCGCAAUGCUUUUGCCUUUUCUACUUUUCUUUCUUUGUUUAUUUAUUAACUGUCUCAUUCAAGCUCUGGAUACCACCACGAAGUCUGUGAACAACUUAACUGUCUUUUUUGGGUAUGGGUCUUCGUGUGCUUUAAAAUUUCUGGGCGUUUCAAAAUUUCAAGUGAAGAGACGAAUUAACAGUGCUGCUGUAGCUAAAACAGGACAGACCAUAAUGUUUGUAGUGUGUUUUGAUGGUGAAGAAAUUAUGUAGGUCUACAGGUUAUUUACUUAAACACUAGGAUUUUGUAGAACCGAGGUGCUUGAAAAAUACAUCUGUAAACAAAAAUCUGUCUCCUUCGUUCUAAGCUGUAGCAGCAACAGUAGUUUGAGCAAAAGUGUCGUUUGAGGGGAUGGGGGGGAUUUAUUUGGUUUGAGGUUUUGGGAUGCGUGGAGGGAAACAAAGUUGUGGGGUUUGUAAUAAUUGAGCAAAUGGGUUCUGUUUAUUUUUCUUGUAGUUUUCUAUUUGGUAGUGAGUGAAGAGAGAAGUUCUACUGCCAAUUUUCUUCUACAUUCUUUUGCAAAACUGUUGUAAUAAGCUAUCUGGGAAAUACCAUUUAAUAAUAUAAUCACUGUUAUAUUCACCAACAUAAAUAAAUUAAGUUAUAAAAAUGAAAUCAUUAACCAUUAAAUAUAACUAGAAAUUAUAGAUGCUUAAUUAGUAAAUUAUAGACGCUUAACCAUUAAAUAUAAUUUCUUAACUAGAAAUUAUAGAUGCAAAUAAAAAUUAACUAUUUUUAUUAAUUUUUUUUUGUUUAUGUUGUUAUAGGUUAAUGAAGAAUCUUAGAAUGUGCAUCAAUGGUGAUGGCUACAAAUUUAUGUUGAAAAUUUAAAAUUAUUUUGAUUUUUCGUAUAAAAUUUGAUCAUUUGUAAUUAUGUCGAAGGCUUAGAAUUAUUAUGUUUUUAUUUAUGUGGAGGUUGUUAAAAUUUAAUCACUUGUAUUUUAUUUUAAUAUGGAAUUUAAUCAUUUGUAAUUUUAUUUCUAAAUAUGGAGGUUGUCAGAUUUAUUAUUAUUUUAAAAAAAAUAAAAUAUUUAGAAAUUAUUAUUUAAAAAAUGGGGAUCGGGUCCCCGCUUUAAUCCCCGCUCAAUUCGGGGAUUUUCGGGGAUAUACCCAAACUAUCCCCCAUUACAAUUUUUCGGGUAUGGGGCGGGUUCGGGGGAAAGCUUCUAAAUCGGGUUCGGGUUCGGGGAUCAUGAUCCCCGCCCCGAACCCGCCCCAUUGACAUCCCUACCAAUAUCUCUCGAAACGUAAAAAACAUGAAAGUCUAUAUCUUUUUCUUACGUCCAUAGCACCUUGAAUCAUUUCAAAUAGAGCUUGGAUGAGGGAGUUAUGCCCAAAUUAUGAAGCAAUGUCGAAACUAUCCAAGAUUGCCCAAUUAGCUUUAUUUUGCACUUAACGCCUCCAUUUGCAUCCUAAACCAUAAUAUAAGAAUAACGAGUACAGUUGGCACCAAAUAAUAAAAAUAUAAACAUUAACCGAAGAAAUUAUGACAUUUUAUAUUCUCAUCACUAGCUUAGCAUGUUUAUGUUUAUGUUUUUUUUCAAAACUUCAGGUUGAAAAAUUUUUUUCCUGUUAUUUACGAUAUCAUAUAAAUGAUGCAAUUCUCAAAUAUUAAUAUUGAAACUUGAAGUUUUGCAACACAAAGAAAUAAAGUGGAACCUAGAGGUGGCCAAUGGACCGGACGGCACGAUGCACGACACGAGUACGGUACAUGUCCGUAUAGCACCGCAUGACAUGAGCACGUUUCGGUAGAGCACUUGGCACGGCACGCACGUGAGCCGUGCCGGGCUUAGAUUUUAGGCACAUGGGCCUUAAAAGCAUGGCAAAAUUAGAGAUAGACCAAAGUACGACACGCGAAAAAAUACGCAAUAAGCACGUUUCAUUUUUUAAUGAAAGUAAACUUAAAAUUUUAUGAUUUUAUAAACAACUUGAAAUUGAAUCUUUUAAUAUAUUUUAUUGGCUCAAGUUUUUUAAAUUUAUUUAAUUCUUAUUUUUAAAAAAUUAUAAUUGAUUUAUGUUUAUAAUUUAUUAAAUAAAUAAUAUAUAUCAUGAUUUUAAUAAAUAAAAUUAUAAAUAUGAUGAUUUUGUAAAUAUGUAUUAAUAUUAUUAUAAACUAUUAUAUAUGACUCUACGUAAUUCCAAGUUAACAAUUUAGCUAACCCCUAAAAAAAAUUAUUAUUAUUGUUGUUGUUAAGUACUAAAAAAGAAUUAUAAUACCAUAGAGUCAAACUUAGCAACUAAUAUUACAUUCUCUUAUUUAUUAAUUUAUUAUUAUUGAAUAAGGACUUGAGUUUUGAAUUUUUUAUUUUAUUAAAUUUAAAUAAAGGCACAUGGGUCCAAAAAAAAGUAUAUAAGCUUAAAAAAACAACUUGGCAUGCGCUUUUAAAAAAAAUAAAAAAGGAAAAAAAAACUUAGUGGGCUAUUUUUUCUAGGCACGGCACGGCACGUGUGUCGGAUUGGCACAGCACAUGUUCCGGGCUGGCACGGCACGACCACAAGCAUGCGUGGGCUUCCUUUGAUGGGCCUGGGCCGGCAUAGCACGGCCCGUUGGGCAUCUCUAGUGGAACCUUGAAACGACCCGCCCCGCAACUCCCCAGGGCGAGUCUAUCUAAACUCGUAAAAUCGAAACUAUUCUAUAAAAAUUUCGGCAGAGUCUCCCUUAAAAAUAAAACAUAUCCAAUCCUGCAAUUUACAAAUCAACACUCCCAAAAUAAUUCAAUAUCCAACCAUCCUCCAUAAUCAACUUCUCAAAUCAACAUAUCCAUAUCAUCCUAAGAUUAAAUUACAUCGAUUACAUAAAAUAAUAAAAUAAUACAACUCGCAAAAAUCUCAAAUAUAAUAAUAAUUAAAUCCACGACUCCUAGCACCAUCAUGUGGCCACAAUAUCACACUAAAGUUCGCUACUGGGUUGACUGAUGUACCUGUAAAUCUCCUGUGGGGGGGGGGAAAUAGAAUAAAAGAGGGGUGAGUAUAAAACUCAGUGAGCUCAGUGAGUGGAUAGUAGUUGCUGACAAUUUAAUAAAUUUAUUUAAAAUCAUUUAAUCUUUCUCAAAUCACUUCCUCAAAUCAAUUUCAUAAAUCAAUUUCUCAAAAUAUCAUAAGAACUUGCUCAAACUCAUUUAAUGCAAAUCAGUUCAUUGAAACACUAUAAUACAUAUAUUUGCAUAAAAUCGAUGGAAUCAUAUAAUACACAUCAUAUCAAAUACUGAAUACUAAAAACUGUCAUCAAACAAGUACCCAGGGAAUAAUCUGAUCAUAUCCGGACCUCGACGGACGGGCAAUGACGUACUAUCUGGGUAACGUCACGCCCCGGAGCUACAACGGAUAGAUGGGGACGAUCUCAUCUCAUAUCUCAUAUAUCUGUACUGUGCAUGCAUAAGCCCCCAAAAGGCAAAAGCGCCCGAACACACGGCCCAAAGCCUCUAUGUGUGUUCCGACGGGCCCCAAAGGCCUCUAUCUCAUCUUAUCUGUAUCUCUUUUCUGAUCUCAUAUUAUCUGUUUCUCUGUAUCUGGAGGGAAGGGUACUGUCUAAUGAUUUCAAAAAUAACAUAUACAUAAACAUAGAAUCUCAUAUGAAAUCUCAUUUUCUUUCUAUUCAACAUAUCUCAAAAUCUGCUCAAUUCUAAUAUCAUGCCUUUACUCAAAAACGCUAAUAAAAUCAUUAAUCAAACUCAUUCUCAAUAACAAUAAAGACCGACACAUAGAUAAAAAUUAAUUUGCCGGAAAAUCAUUUAAUCGAAGCAUUAAAUACUUAUCAUAAAAUCAGCAUAUACUAUGAAAAUAGGUUUUGUAUAUUCCACUCACAGUGAUGAUGUCUAGACUCGGUAUCAACAACGUCCGCGGGUUGAUUCUCGUUCGCGGAUGCGGAUCCUCCUAAUCACGGAAACACUAUAAUUAUUCUCUGUAAAUAGAAAUACAACCAAUUUAAUAUAAUAAAUCUCGAAUCCUAUUAACGAUAAACUAUUCCCAUAUGAGUAAAAUUACCAAAAUACCCCCAACAUCAAUAUUUUACCAACUUAUCCUCAAACUUCAUUAUUUUACCAAAUUAUCCUCAUAUUCGUCAAUUACCAUAUUAUCCUCAAUUCAGAUUACAUAAAUUAAUCACAUUCUCCGAAAUUACGAAAUUACCCUCAGGGCAUAAAAUUACCGAAAUGUCCUCAACGUCUUAAAUUACCGAAUUACCCUCGAAAGCAUAAAUUACUUCACUGCUCUCACUCAAAAUUACCAAAAUGUCCACUGAUUACAUAAAAUUACAAAUUCACCCCAAAGUUUCAUGAAUUUACCGAAUUGCCCCUGCCGGUCAACGGUGACCGGACUUCAGUCAACGAUGACGGGGAGCUUAGGUCUGCUAGUUCCGACCUCGGUGAGUGCAAUGGUGGUGGCCGUGAGUCGCCACGCGCGCUACCGGCGGCGGAUCGAAGCUCCAAAGAUCCGCAAGUUUCCAGUGAUCGUUCGGCGGUUUUCCGGCCUCCCUGGUGAUCGUGGUUGGUCGGAAAUUGUUGCUGAAGAUGUGAGGAACCAGUUCCAAGUGGUGGCGCGUCACAAACCCGGCGGAAUCAACGGCGACGGAAAAGGAUCUUGGCCGCGACUUUCGAGCUCAAAUCGUCGGUGUUCUGGUCGGUUUUCGGCGACGAGGACCACGGGGAUACAACGGUCGGCUUCCAAGCUUCAUAUCGGUACCAAGCACGACCGGUAAGGUGGCCGGAAUUAGGAGAUCCGUUUGGGUCAAUAUCGCGGGUCCGGGUCGGGUUUUCGGGUCAACGGGUCAAAAUUCCUCUCUCUCUCUCUCUCUCUUUCACGGGUUCUCUCACUUUGUUUUUGAAUUCAAAAACAGUUCCCCUUCACCAAUUAUACAAUCCGACCCUUUUUUUUUUUUUAAGCUUAAUACAAAUUAAGCUCAAUUCGGACCCGUGAUGAAAAUAAAAUCCGGCCAUCGGCGCGUGUAAUCGCGCUCAAUUAUUCUCGAUAAAAUGUCGUGACGAAAUAAAAAAAUUAAUAGCGAAGAAGAAAAUUAAAUCACUCACUUAAUUAAGAAAAUCGGAGUGCAUAUGUUACAAACCUAAAGUUCUAACCUCUAAUGCGAAUCCCACAAUGAAACUUUGAAACCCACACUUAAUUUGUAAUUUCAACUUCCCAAGAAAGUUCUAAACAGAUUUAAGACAAACAAAACCUUAACCCCAAUGCUUAAGAACACAUGAACCAGAGGUAUAGAGAAUGAUAUUGACGCCACACUCAAGAUGUAGAUGAGAAGGUGAGUGAUAAGUCUAGAUUUGGAACGCCACAAGAAUGCAAAUUCUUGAUAAGUUCACCAGUUCUCAAAAGAACUAAAGAAAGAAUAAUUCUUUCAAAUUCAAAUAACAUUAAUCUCUAAAAUUGUCUUACAUAGCAAGGUGCUGAGUUUAAAUAUGCUAAAAGAAACCCAAGAUCCUAAAAAUACAAAUGGAAACAUUAGAACAACCCUCCAAGUAUAGGUUUAUCAAAUGAUGCUUCAAAAGUUUUCAUCAACCCACUAUUAGUAAUGCUAGUCAUUGACAAACUUAAUGCUAUCCUAUCAUAAUUAAUGUUAUUAUUGACAAACUUAAUGCUAGCCUACCAUAAUUAAUGUUAUCAUUGACAAACUUAAUAUUAGCCCACCAUCAUUGAUGGUAGACUUACCUUACACAUUGACAAACUUGGAACAAAAUAAACAAAUGAAGUUGAAUAAACAAAUGAGUCAUUGGAAAUCCCAAGUCUGAAUAAGCUGUAAUAAAUUGGUCAUAACUCCUUCUAGAGAACUCCAAAUCCAGCUCUGUAAAUUGCAUUGGAAAGCUAACUUAAUUAUAUUUCCAAAGGUAUAUGGCUUGAACAUUAAUUCUAGCUCAAUAAAUACCAGUUUUAUUCCAAAUUUUCCAUUUUUGCAUUGGAUCCAAAUUGUGUAUUUGGCUGCCCAAUAGCUUGAAUAAUGCCAACAAUGCCUUGUCUUCUCUCCAAGCCCAAUUCAUGAUGUCUUGCAUCUUGAAUUGCAUUUUCAGUCCACAUUUUCCCAAUUAAUCCAUUUAAAGCAACUUGCAUCUUUUUUGCUCUAGAUCUUGUAAUUGAACCUCCAUGAAUGUGCAAAGGAUCACUUGAAGCUUUAAUGGUAUUCUCUUGAUGGUUCUCAUCAACCUCGCUAACUAGAAUCUAAAGAUUUAAUGCUGGAAAUACAGCUCUAAGGUUAGAAUCUGCAAUUCCAAAAAUUAUUAGAUUAGAACUUACAAGAGCCGACCAGAUUAUUUUAAAGAUUGGAUAAGUAAUAGUAAUUCAUUUAUUAACAAACUUUUUUCUUCAUUUGGACUCGUUUCAAUACUUUUUUUAGUUGCUUUGAUAGGUGUAGUUACCGUAGCGCGUCAAUAACAAAUCUUUAUAAAUAGGAACAACAAUCUCAAUUCUACUGUUUUAUAUGUUAUCACAUUUAUUUCCAAUAAAUUCUAGUUGAAUACUAAUUCUAGUUAAUGAUUAUUAAAAUAGAACUUGCAGUUUGAAUUAUUAAUUAUCAAGGAGAUUAUCAAAUAACCACAGGAAGUUUCUUGACAUAUCAAUUCACCAUCAAAAUUUUUUGGCGACUACAUUUUGCCUCCUAAUAUUUCAACUCUUAUCAUUUUACUACCAAAACAUGAAAAUAAUAAAAAAUUUAACAAAAUCUAAAUUAAAAGUCAAAUUUUCCUAGGGUUUAGAAGACGAUUUUAUCCUCUAAAUUAAAAGAAAAUUACAAGACAAAUAUUUAUAAUAUUAUCCCAAAAAAGUAGCCGUUAGAUAAAAAGUAGGAUAUUUGUCUAAUAAUAGAAGCCUACUGCUUCGUAUUCAAAGAUCAAAUUCUAGCUCCUACAAGCCAAAUACUUCCAGCCACUUCAAACAUUAAAAUUAUAAGCCAAAUACUUAAAAAUUUAACACUAUCAUUCAACAAAAGCAACUCACUUCAAAGAUUAUAAUUAUAAGCCAAAUACUUAAAAAUUUAACACCAUCAUUCAACAAAAGCAACUCUAAGCCACUACAAACACUAUAAUUAAUUGAAACAUAAAAUAUCUACCUCGCUUCAAUCUUCCUUUCAAAAUUAAACAUGCUUUCAAUUUCAAACAUAUGAAUCCAAACUAAAAAUUAGCCUUUGGUAGUAACUCAAGUGCCAAUUCUAUGAUCAGGCUAAAAAAUCGACAGAAGUUACUUGCUACCCUAAUAUGCAAUUGAGAAAUGAAGGCAUGUGCUUUGGUGUCUACUACAUUGGAAAAUCUUAAAAAGUUAUUUUGGAUAUGCAAGUUUAAAAAGUGUAAUUUUUAGGAAUGAGUCGCAAAAGAAGACCUAGAAAUGCCUAAUAUCACACGUGGUCAUGACAUGAAGCUAAAUAAAAAUGUAAUGAAGAUGAAUGAAAAGUUACAAUGCAUUCAAGCAAAACUAAAAUUGACCAUGGUUUUUGGUUGAGGCUUUGUGGUAGGCUUAUGCAUGAGAAACUAAUGUAAUAUGCAUGCCAAAUUAAUGUAGAAUUCAAUCAUUAUAGUUUAAGAUGUAAUGAAAAAUCAAUGCAUUUGAAGCACCAUAAGAAAAACACUUCUAAGUAACCAAAAGUAUUUUUAUAAAAUCUUCAGAAUAAUUAACAAACUAAUAAUAGCAUGUGCUUUCAGAAUAUGAUAUACUAUAAUAAUGCACUCAUAACAAUUCGUGUAUUCAAAAUACACAAUAGCCUAUCGUACUAUUAACAAUUUGUGCAUUCAAAAU